rfam:Ipomoea nil DNA, scaffold: scaffold0164, cultivar: Tokyo-kokei standard.
GCUGGAGGAGCUUAGUUGGUUAGAGGGUAUGGCUGUUAACAACAAGGUUGAAGGUUCAAGUCCUUCCCCUAACG